CAAAAAGAAUGUUUCUUUCCUUUAUUGACAUCUCUUUAAUUCUAAUUUUCCACACAACAUGUUCAAGACCACAAGAUUAAAGGACAUUUUGAUACAUUCUACAUAUCUUUAGUUAAAGACCGAAAGAUUCAAAAUUCUUCUUAAGUUUGUUAAACUCCACGACAGUUUUCCCAAGUCAAAACCAAACAACAAAUUAAAACGGAGGGAGUAGCAUGUUUUCCAGAUCAGAUCUCUCUUUCUUCUGGUAGAAUUUGUAGGCAAGAAAAG
rnacentral:misc_RNA from 1 species